AUGACGGGAUGGUCACUUUGUGUAAAAAGUAAUAAGUCAAAACUGGAGAUACUAUUAAGCUUUCGGGAAAGUACGAAGUCUUGUAGAAAAAUUUAACUUCUGUAAAAGUGUUGGUGCAACUGUGAAACUGCUGUUUGAUUGUUAAAAGGGCCUUUGACCUCAGUAUAAGAAACUGCGAGCUGUAUAUUUCAGAAGCUGGGAUCACUCACUGGCAGACAGACAGCGCACAGGAAUUGAAGCUCCAGCUCAUCGGAGGAAGAAACGAAAAAAAAUUGUUCUCGUUUAAAAUUACAAGAAUACCUUAAUUAUUUAUUUAUUUCUUUUUUGAAAAAGGUGAUUAUUGUUUAGUUGCUGUUAAAUUGCUGUCCCAUGAUAUUCCUCGUUCUGACUUUUAAAUAACAGAAUUAGUCAAUUAUUGUUGGCAAUAUUCAAGAGGAUUUUUCUUUAGUCUGGUGGCCCUUGAAUGUAAGGGCUUAGCUUUCAUUGAAAAAGGGAAAACGAAAACACAUCACUGUGGCCGUAAAGAAAAUAACAAUUAUUGUCAAGGUAAAAAAAAAAGAUACUCUGUAGAAUGUAUCAAUUGUACAUUGUA